UGGAAUUAUUUAUUGAUCCAUUUGACCCAAAGGGUUCAUGAGGAGCUGAAUUACCUCCUUCAGCUGUGACCAAGUGGCCUAUUAGAAGCAGCUUCUAUGAAAGACAGCUGCCUAAGCAGCCUGCUUAGGUAUGGUUUCAGAAAGAAGUUAUGGACAAAGCAAUAUUGGGAGAACAAUUGCUGAGCAGAGAAGACAGGAAGCAGACCUUGGAAAUGGGAAAGGACAGGAACAGAGCUGGUGCAGAAGGAAGCCUCAUCUCCAUCAAGUCAUCUGGCCGGGGAGAGCUGGCCAAGCAGCAUGGAAAAAUGUCACAUCGCCUUAAGGAACCAAGUUGCAUUUUGCACUGGUGUCACAACACAAAAUGAAGAUCAAAAGCAAACCAUCCGUGUGUGUGUGUGGAAGCUACGCACUGGAGUAUUUUUUUUGUGGCUAGCCACCA